rnacentral:rRNA from 1 species
GAAUUCGCCCUUGGGGAAUUUUCCGCAAUGGGCGAAAGCCUGACGGAGCAAUACCGCGUGAGGGAGGAAGGCUCUUGGGUUGUAAACCUCUUUUCUCAGGGAAGAACAGAAUGACGGUACCUGAGGAAUAAGCAUCGGCUAACUCCGUGCCAGCAGCCGCGGUAAUACGGAGGAUGCAAGCGUUAUCCGGAAUGAUUGGGCGUAAAGGGUCCGCAGGUGGCAUUGUAAGUCUGCUGUUAAAGAGUUUGGCUCAACCAAAUAAGAGCAGUGGAAACUACAAAGCUAGAGUGUGGUCGGGGCAGAGGGAAUUCCUGGUGUAGCGGUGAAAUGCGUAGAUAUCAGGAAGAACACCAGUGGCGAAGGCGCUCUGCUAGGCCGAGACUGACACUGAGGGACGAAAGCUAGGGGAGCGAAUGGGAUUAGAUACCCCAGUAGUCCCAGCCGUAAACGAUGGAUACUAGGCGUAGCUCGUAUCGACCCGAGCUGUGCCGGAGCUAACGCGUUAAGUAUCCCGCCUGGGGAGUACGCAGGCAACUGUGAAACUCAAAGGAAUUGACGGGGGCCCGCACAAGCGGUGGAGUAUGUGGUUUAAUUCGAUGCAACGCGAAGAACCUUACCAAGGCUUGACAUGUCACGAAUCCUAUUGAAAGAUGGGAGCGCCUUCGGGAGCGUGAA